rnacentral:lncRNA from 1 species
UUUUUGUAUUCUUUAGAUAAAUACCCAGUGGUGAAAUUGCUGGGUCAUAAGGUAGCUCUAUUUUUAACUUUUUGAGGAAGUUCCAUACUGUUUUCCACAGUGGCUGCACCGGUUUGCAUUCCCACCAACAGUGUAAGAGGGUCCCCCUUUCUUUGCAUCCUCACCAACAUCUGUUGUUUCUGAGUUAAUUUUAGCCAUUCUGACCAGUGUGAGGUGGUAUCUCCUUGUAAUUUUGAUUUGUAAAUCUUGAUUUGUAAAUUUCCCUGAUGAUGAGUGUGAUGUCGAAUAUUUUUUCGUAUGUGUGUUAGCCAUUUGCAUACCUUCUUUGGAGAAAUGUCUGUUUAUAUCUUCUACCCAUUUCUUGACUGAAUUUUUUGGUUUUCGGGUGAUAAGUUUUGGCUUGAUAAGUUCUUUAUAGAUCUGGAUACUAGCUCUUUAUCUUAUAUGUCAUUUGCAAAUACCUUCUCCCAUUCCACAGACUGCCUUUCAGUUUUGUUGAUUCUUUCCUUUGCUGUACAGAUGCUUUAUGUUGAUGAAGUCUCAGUAGUUCAUUUUUGCUUUUGCUCCCUUUGUCUCAGGUGAUAUAUGUAGUAAAAAGUUGCUACAGCUGAGGUCAAAGAGGUUGCUGCCUGUGUUCUCCUCUAGGAUUCUGAUGGAUUCCUGUCUCACAUUUAGGUCUUUCAUUUAUUUUGAAUUUAUUUUUAUGUGUGGCAUAAGAAAGUGGUCCAGCUCAAUUCUUUUGCAUGUUGCUGUCCAGUUUUCCCAACAUCACUUGUUGAAGAGAUUGUCUUUAUUCCAUUGGCUAUUCUUUCCUGUUUUGUCAAAGAUUAGUUGACUAUAUACUUGAGGGUCCAUUUCUGGGUUCUCUAUUCUAUUUCACUGAUCUGUAUGUGUCUGUUUGUGUGCCAGUACCACAUUAUUUUGAUGAUUAUAGCUUUAUAAUACAGCUUGAAAUCUGGAAUUGUGAUGCCUCCAGCUUUCUUUUUUCCAAACAUUACUUUGGCUAUCCAGGGUCUUUUCUGGUUCCAAAUUUCAGAAUUGUUUGUUCAAGCUCUUUGAAAAAUGCUGGUGUUAUUUUGAUAGGGAUUGCAUUGAAUGUGUGGAUUGCUUUGGGUAAUAUAGAUAUUUUAACAAUAUUUGUUCUUCCAGUCCAUGAGCAUGGAAUAUUUUUCCAUUUAUUUGUGUCUUCCUCAGUUUCUCUCAUAAGUGUUCUAUAGCUUUCAGAGUACAGAUCUUUUACCUCUUUGCUUAGGUUUAUUCCUAGGUACCUUUUGGGGUUUGGUGCUAUUGUAAAUGGAAUCAGUUCCUUGAUUUCUCUUUCUGCUGCCUCAUUAUUGGUGUAUAGAAAUGCAACAAGCUCCUGUGCAUGGAUUUUAUAUCCUGUGAUUGUGCUGAAACCCUUAUAAGUUAUAGCAAUAUUUUGGUGGAGUCUCUUGAGUUUUCUACAUAGAAUAUCAUGUUGUCUGUUAAGAGUGGAAGUUUGACUUCUUUCCUGAUCUGGAUACCUUUUAUUUCAUUUUGUUGUCUGACUGCUGAGGCUAGGACUUCUAGUACUAUGUUGAACAACAGUGGUGAGACUGGACAUCCCUGUCUUGUUCCUGACUGAGGAAAAGCUCUCAGUUUUCCACAUUGAGGAUAUUAGCUAUGUGUCUUUUUCAUAUGACCUUUACGAUGCUGAAGUAUGUUCCUUCUAUCCCUACUUUCCUGAGGAUUUUUAUCAAGAAAGAAUGCUGUAUUUUGUCAAAUGUUUUUUCUGCAUCCAUUAUGAUCAUAUGUUCUUAUCCUUUCUUUUAUUAAUGUAGUGUAUCACAUUGAUUGACUUCUGGAUGUUGAACCAUCUUUGCAGGUCAGGAAUAAAUCCCAUUUGGUUAUGGUGAAUAAUCUUUUUAACGUACUGUUAGAUCUGAUUAGCUAGUAUCUUGUUGAGAAUUUUUGCAUCCAUGUUCAUCAGAGAUAUUAGUUUAUAAUUCUCCCUUUUAGUGGGGUCUUUGUCUGGUUUUAAGGCAUUGGUUUAUAAUUCUCCUUUUUAGUGGGGUCUUUGUCUGGUUUUAGGAUUAAGGUAAUGCUGGCCUCAUAGAAUGAGUUUGGAAGUUUUCCUUCCAAAAUCAACUAUCUUUUAUUUUCUUUAUUUUAAUUAUAAAUAAAGCCCAUAAAUAUUGCUUUGCUCAACUUUUAAAGUUCUCUAAAUAAUACUAUUCUCCCAGUCUCUCUGGCUUAGAGCUUUGGAGCCAUCUUUGAUUCCUUCAUUUUCCUCAUCUCUAUGUCCAAAUCAAUUGCCUAAUACAGUCAAUUGUUCUUCCAAAAUAAUCUUCUGCUCAUUCAUUUCCAUUUUUAUCCCAGUCUAUAUUUUUAAAAUCCUAGACUAUCAUUAAACCUUCUCACAUAGACACUACUAUUUUUUGACUACUUGACACUAAUGACUACUAUUAUUGACACUAAUGACUAUUUUUUCCCAAUAAUCAAUAAAUGUACCCACUUUACAUAUUUGUUUCACUAAAGUGAUGUCUCUUGUCUGUUGAUAAUCUUCCUCAAUAACCCACCGCAUGCAGGAUGAAAUGUAUGGGCCUGAGAUAGAUAAUUUUUCCUCUCUUGUACUCUACUCCAAUUGUGAAAACAAAACAAACAAAUAAACAAAAACUACAAGAUGUUUGGUUUCAUACUUUCUGAGCCAAGAAACCACAGAGUAAUUGGCAAGAAUUCUAAACUUCAAAAAGUUAAUAAGAUUUAUUCCUAUGAAAUAUGUUUGCCAGAGCCUAAAAACAAGUUGGAAGACACGGGAACAAUUUUAAACAUUAAUAUUAUUUCAGAAGCUUAAAAAAUUCUUUACUUCUAAAUAAUAUUUAGAAUAUUUGUCAAGCUUUUGCCAUGUGCCUUAGUGCUAAGUAUUUACAUGUAUCUUCUUAUUUAGUCCUGAUGAUUAUCUUUUAGGGAUAAUCUUUUAUUCCUCAUUCUACAUUCGUUGACACUGAAACUUACAGAAGUUAAUAGUUUACACAUCUUUUAUAUGACAGAUUUAGGCCUAUAACUAACUCCAGAGCCUAAACUCAUCUUAACUUGGGGCACUUGAUGGGAUGAGCACUGGGUGUUAAGCUAUAUGUUGGCAAAUUGAACUCCAAUAAAAAGAAAUAAAAAAAAAUAAACUCAUCUUAAUUUGUUAACUUGUCCAUUAGGAAUCCUUGAUGUAUAAAACAAAUUAUUGUGUAAUUCUCCCUUUUCUUCAUUUUAAAUUAAAAUAUAGAGUCCAAAUAAAGAAGUGAUAUAAAUAUGUUUAAGGAGAACUUGAAAGCAGAUUUUUCAGAGUUCAGCCUAGAUUAACAUGAAAUAAGAAGAUUCCUUGUCUAUAUUUUACCUACAGGCAGCCAGAGGAAGGAGAAUAACUUUGUUCAAAACAUCUGGCAGCUGACUCCCCUGCCUGUGUCUAUCCAGAUGAUCAUGGAACCAUAGAAUUGUUGUUUUUUGGACAAGAGUUACAAAAAGAAUGAACAAGUUCAAUCACUGAUUAUAUGACAUUUGUCAGUAUUUAGAAUGGAAAUUAGAGCUAUGACAUCAUUUUAAGAAUAUACAUUAUAUAAUUAACAGUUUACCUAAUUUUAUAUACUGUGAAUGUAUUAUUUUAUGAUUUAAAGCAGUUUUUAAAGCUUAAAAUUUGUCAACACUAUAACAUGCCCACUCAUUAUCUCUGUUUACCAUGUUCACAGUUCCUUCCGUGGUAACCUUAGAGGCACUCACAGUUUCCACAAAACCUAUUGCGAACUCCACUGUUUUGGCAUAAGCAAUUAAAAUGGCAGCAUGAGCCAUAAUAACCAGGAUAACAUUCUGGAAAAGAAAGGGAAUAUAAGGGAAGGGAGAAGAAAUGUGUAGGAAAUAUCAGAAAGGGAGACAGAACGUAAAGACUGCUAACUCUGGGAAACGAACUAGGGGUGGUGGAAGGGGAAAAGGGCGGGGGGUGGGAGUGAAUGGGUGACGGGCACUGGGGGUUAUUCUGUAUGUUAGUAAAUUGAACACCAAUAAAAAAUAAAUUAAAAAAAAAAAAA